rnacentral:ncRNA from 1 species
AGGUCUGGCGCACCAGCGGAUCGGAGAAGUCCGACAGGCGGAACGGAUCGAAAUAUCCGCCGGGAUUGGCGGUCAUCCACGCAUAGAUCCGCGCCGAACCGAGCCACUGCAGGAAGAGGUAGCAUGCCUCCGGGUUCUUUGCUUGCGAGGACACGGAAGCCGAGAGAUUGAGCCACAGCACCGAGCGGCUCACCAUCUUGCCGUCGACCUCGCGGCCGGGCGG